AUGAACGCUGGCGGCGUGCCUAAUACAUGCAAGUCGAGCGAACAGAUGAGGAGCUUGCUCCUCUGACGUUAGCGGCGGACGGGUGAGUAACACGUGGAUAACCUACCUAUAAGACUGGGAUAACUUCGGGAAACCGGAGCUAAUACCGGAUAAUAUAUUGAACCGCAUGGUUCAAUAGUGAAAGACGGUUUUGCUGUCACUUAUAGAUGGAUCCGCGCCGCAUUAGCUAGUUGGUAAGGUAACGGCUUACCAAGGCAACGAUGCGUAGCCGACCUGAGAGGGUGAUCGGCCACACUGGAACUGAGACACGGUCCAGACUCCUACGGGAGGCAGCAGUUGGGAAUCUUCCGCAAUGGGCGAAAGCUUGACGGAGCAACGCCGCGUGAGUGAUGAAGGUCUUCGGAUCGUAAAACUCUGUUAUUAGGGAAGAACAAAUGUGUAAGUAACUAUGCACGUCUUGACGGUACCUAAUCAGAAAGCCACGGCUAACUACGUG
rnacentral:rRNA from 1 species